rnacentral:rRNA from 1 species
CGCUAGGUACGGUCGGAAAUCGUGCUGAUAGUGCAAUGGCAUAAGCGUGCUUAACUGCGAGACCGACAAGUCGAGCAGGUGCGAAAGCAGGUCAUAGUGAUCCGGUGGUUCUGUAUGGAAGGGCCAUCGCUCAACGGAUAAAAGGUACUCUGGGGAUAACAGGCUGAUACCGCCCAAGAGUUCAUAUCGACGGCGGUGUUUGGCACCUCGAUGUCGGCUCAUCUCAUCCUGGGGCUGUAGCCGGUCCCAAGGGUAUGGCUGUUCGCCAUUUAAAGAGGUACGUGAGCUGGGUUUAAAACGUCGUGAGACAGUUUGGUCCCUAUCUGCCGUGGGCGUUGGAUAUUUGAAGGGGGCUGCUCCUAGUACGAGAGGACCGGAGUGGACGAACCUCUGGUGUACCGGUUGUCACGCCAGUGGCAUCGCCGGGUAGCUAUGUUCGGAAGAGAUAACCGCUGAAAGCAUCUAAGCGGGAAACUCGCCUUAAGAUGAGAUAUCCCUGGGGACUAGAUCCCCUUGAAGGGUCGUUCGAGACCAGGACGUUGAUAGGUCAGGUGUGUAAGCGCAGUAAUGCGUUCAGCUAACUGAUACUAAUUGCCCGUAAGGCUUGAUCCUAUAACA